CUGAUUGACACGUGUAAUAGCAAUCUUUAAGCAGAUGUGAUCAAAUACCGAAGUGGUGUGUAAUUGACACACCUUUCAAAAUUUUGGUAGGUAAUAUUAUUUCCGUCUUUAACAUGUGUGUAAGAGAAAUUUGGGGUAAAGAUCGAUGGGUAAAGUAUGAAUUUUGGCAAUAUAAUUUCUCCAAAAGAAUUUAAGAAGUUUCUAGUUAUUGUUGGUGGAAAAGGAGUGAAUAGGAAGUGAUAAGAAACCAUUGGUAUGUUAUCAAAUAUGAGGUCCAUAUCGCCCGGAUCACAAUCUUAGGAUAAGAGACCAAUCUAAAAUCCACGCUCCUAUUGGACAUCUCAUUUUUAUCGCUUGACUCUUCUUCUUUCUAUAUUCCACAUUUCUCACAUCAAUAAUAGCAAACAAAAACAAACCAAAUUGCAACUUCAAAGCCAGAAACCCUUAACAGCAACAAAGAAAUGGCAGCCACCAUAGGAACCAUGGCCAUGCUCAACGUCAAAUGCUUUACCAAAGCAUCUAUUAACAACCCUUCAAAGCCCAAACCCAUCUCUCUUCUCUCCCUUCAAAACCUCCCAAAAGGUCUAUUGACUUCCAAAACAUCUGAAAACACCUCAAACUUAUCAAGUUCCCUCACUGGAACAGCAAUUGCAGGUGCCAUUUUCUCAACCCUGAGCUCAUGCGACAGCGCUUUUGCCGCUCAACAAAUUGCUGACAUAGCAGAGGGAGACAACAGGGGUUUAGCACUUUUACUUCCUUUAAUUCCUGCUAUAGCAUGGGUUCUUUACAACAUUCUUCAACCAGCACUGAACCAAAUCAAUAAAAUGAGGAAUCAAGGAGUUAUUAUUGGUCUUGGUCUAACUGGUUUAGCAGCAUCAGGUUUUUUCCACACUCCAGAGGCUUCAGCUGCUAGUGAAAUUGCUAUGAUUGCAGAUGCAGCAAGUGACAACAGAGGACAACUUUUGUUGAUUGUUGUGACUCCUGCUUUGCUUUGGGUUGCUUACAAUAUUCUACAGCCAGCUUUGAAUCAGAUCAACAAGAUGAGACAGUGAGGAUCAUGUUUUGUAAAAGUGUGCAGUUGUAUUUGGACAAUAUUACUUAUAUAAAGUUGCACCUUUUUGACUUUUAUCAAUCAACUUGUCCUUAAAAAAAACCAUUUUGUUUUAUGGAUAACUUUCUUUCAAACUUAUUUAGUAGGAUUGAAUAAAAUUGUGUAUUAUUUGUAAUCAAAAGAUUGUUCUCAACUUAUAUAUAUGAAAUUAGUUGUAUUUACUUGAUCUGUUGUCUGUAUAUAGGUAUGACAUUAAUCAAAAUCAGGGGACCAAGAUUUUAGGUUUAAGGGCUUAUUAUUGGCAGAUUGGAAUUUAACCACAUAAUUCCCUUCAUUAUGUAGGAAUAUCUCAGGCUCAGUAAUACUAAACCAUGUUUGAUUAACAUAUACUCCUCACCAUGUAAUUGUACCAUGGGCUGUCACCAAUGAUGUACACAAUCAAAGCACUGCUCCAUUUCUCAAUCUCCUUCUCCACUUCUGUUUUUCUGAUUGGACAAUAAUUUUACUAUUAGUAUUCUGGGGGGAACAUAAGAGAGAUUUAAUUCCAUUUUAAGCAUAGCAAUUUCUAACAAAUAGAUUUACCUAUGUAUUUCCCGGGGGCUC
rnacentral:lncRNA from 1 species